AUUGAACGCUGGCGGAAUGCUUUACACAUGCAAGUCGAACGGCAGCACGGGGGCAGCCCUGGUGGCGAGUGGCGAACGGGUGAGUAAUACAUCGGAACGUGCCCGGUCGUGGGGGAUAACGUAGCGACAGUUACGCUAAUACCGCAUACGAUCUGAGGAUGAAAGCGGGGGACCAUCGGGCCUCGCGCGAUCGGAGCGGCCGAUGUCAGAUUAGGUAGUUGGUGGGGUAAAGGCCUACCAAGCCGACGAUCUGUAGCUGGUCUGAGAGGACGACCAGCCAUACUGGGACUGAGACACGGCCCAGACUCCUACGGGAGGCAGCAGUGGGGAAUUUUGGACAAUGGGCGCAAGCCUGAUCCAGCCAUUCCGCGUGCAGGACGAAGGCCUUCGGGUUGUAAACUGCUUUUGUACGGAACGAAAAGGCUCUGGCUAAUACCUGGGGCUCAUGACGGUACCGUAAGAAUAAGCACCGGCUAACUACGUG
rnacentral:rRNA from 1 species